rnacentral:rRNA from 1 species
AUUGAACGCUGGCGGCCGGCCUAACACAUGCAAGUCGAGCGAGCGGCGGACGGGUGAGUAAUGUCUGGGCAACUGCCUGCUGGAGGGGGAUCACUACUGGAAACGGUAGCUAAUACCGCAUACCAUCAGAUGUGCCCAGAUGGGAUUAGCUAGUAGGGGGGGUAACGGCUCACCUAGGCGACGAUCCCUAGCUGGUCUGAGCGGAUGACCAGCCAAACGGGAACUGAGAAACGGUCCAGACUCUUACGGGAGGCAGAAGGGGGGAAUAUUGCACAAUGGGCGCAAGCCUGAUGCAGCCAUGCCGCGUGUAGGAAGAAGGCCUUCGGGUGGUAAAGUACGUUCAGCGGGGAGGCGUUACCCGCAGAAGAAGCACCGGCUAACUACGUGCCAGCAGCCGCGGUAAUUC